AUUGAACGCUGGCGGCAGGCCUAACACAUGCAAGUCGAGCGGAUGAAGGGAGCUUGCUCCUGGAUUCAGCGGCGGACGGGUGAGUAAUGCCUAGGAAUCUGCCUGGUAGUGGGGGAUAACGUCCGGAAACGGGCGCUAAUACCGCAUACGUCCUGAGGGAGAAAGUGGGGGAUCUUCGGACCUCACGCUAUCAGAUGAGCCUAGGUCGGAUUAGCUAGUUGGUGGGGUAAAGGCCUACCAAGGCGACGAUCCGUAACUGGUCUGACAGGAUGAUCAGUCACACGGGAACUGAGACACGGUCCAGACUCCUACGGGAGGCAGCAGUGGGGAAUAUUGGACAAUGGGCGAAAGCCUGAUCCAGCCAGGCCGCGUGUGUGAAGAAGGUCUUCGGAUUGUAAAGCACUUUAAGUUGGGAGGAAGGGCAGUAAGUUAAUACCUUGCUGUUUUGACGUUACCAACAGAAUAAGCACCGGCUAACUUCGUG
rnacentral:rRNA from 1 species